rnacentral:rRNA from 1 species
AGUGGGGAAUAUUGCACAAUGGGGGAAACCCUGAUGCAGCCAUGCCGCGUGUGUGAAGAAGGCCUUCGGGUUGUAAAGCACUUUCAGUCGUGAGGAAAGGGUGUAAGUUAAUACCUUGCACCUGUGACGUUAGCGACAGAAGAAGCACCGGCUAACUCCGUGCCAGCAGCCGCGGUAAUACGGAGGGUGCGAGCGUUAAUCGGAAUUACUGGGCGUAAAGCGUGCGUAGGCGGUUUGAUAAGUCAGAUGUGAAAUCCCGGAGCUUAACUUCGGAACUGCAUUUGAAACUGUUUAACUAGAGUACUGUAGAGGGUGGUGGAAUUUCCAGUGUAGCGGUGAAAUGCGUAGAGAUUGGAAGGAACAUCAGUGGCGAAGGCGGCCACCUGGACAGAUACUGACGCUGAGGCACGAAAGCGUGGGGAGCGAA